rnacentral:rRNA from 1 species
UGAGUACGAGCGGCUACGGCCGCGAAGUGGAUGAUGUCAAGCUUCCAAGAAAAGCCCUAUACCCGUUAAGGCAUGAUGGCCUGUACCCGAAACCGACACAGGUGGGGUGGUAGAGAAUACCGAGGGGCGCGAGGUAACUCUCUCUAAGGAACUCGGCAAAAUGGCCCCGUAACUUCGGGAGAAGGGGUGCCACCGCGAGGUGGUCGCAGUGAAGAGGCCCAGGCGACUGUUUACCAAAAACACAGGUCUCCGCUAAGUCGCAAGACGAUGUAUGGGGGCUGACGCCUGCCCAGUGCCGGAAGGUUAAGGAAGCUGGUCAGCGCAAGCGAAGCUGGCGACUGAAGCCCCGGUGAACGGCGGCCGUAACAAUAACGGUCCUAAGGUAGCGAAAUUCCUUGUCGGGUAUGUUCCGACCCGCACGAAAGGCGUAACGAUCUGGGCGCUGUCUCGGAGAGAGGCUCGGCGAAAUAGAAUUGUCUGUGAAGAUGCGGACUACGUGCACCCGGACAGAAAGACCCUAUGAAGCUUUACUGUAGCUUGGUAUUGUGCUCGGGCUCGGAAUGCGCAGGAUAGGUGGGAGGCUUUGAUCCAUUGCUUGCGGGUGAUGGUGAGCCACUGGUGAGAUACCACUCUUUCCGAGCUAGAGUUCUAACAGCAACCCGUUAUCCGGGUGCUGGACAGUAUCAGGUGGGCAGUUUGACUGGGGCGGUCGCCUCCUAAAAGGUAACGGAGGCGCGCAAAGGUCUGCUCAGGCUGGUUGGAAAUCAGCCGACCAGUGUAAAAGCAGAAGCAGGCUUGACUGUGAGACCUACAAGUCGAACAGGGAGGAAACUCGGCUUUAGUGAUCCGACGGUUCUGCGUGGAAGGGCCGUCGCUCAACGGAUAAAAGUUACUCUAAGGAUAACAGGCUGAUCUCCCCCAAGAGUUCACAUCGACGGGGAGGUUUGGCACCUCGAUGUCGGCUCAUCGCAACCUGGGGCUGAAGUCGGUCCCAAGGGUUGGGCUGUUCGCCCAUUAAAGCGGUACGCGAGCUGGGUUCAGAACGUCGUGAGACAGUUCGGUCCAUAUCCGGUGCACGCGCAGGAAUAUUGAGAGGAUUUCUCCCUAGUACGAGAGGACCGGGAGGAACGCACCUCUGGUGUGCCAGUUAUCGUGCCAACGGUAAACGCUGGGUAGCCAUGUGCGGAGUGGAUAACCGCUGAAAGCAUCUAAGUGGGAAGCCCACCUCAAGAUGAGUAUUCCCAUGGCAUAAGCCAGUAAGGUCACGGGAAGAACACCCGUUGAUAGGCUCUACGUGGAAGCGCAGUAAUGUGUGAAGCGGAGGAGUACUAAUAGACCGAGGGCUU